CCCUGCAUCGGCAGGCGGACUCUCAACCACUGCACCACCAGGGAAGCCCCACUCAGCAUCUUUUUGCUUGAUUUGUGACCCAAGUAUGAUCUAUCCUGGAGAAUGUUCCAUGAGCACUUGAGAAGAGACAUCAAUAUCUUUCCUUCUAGAAAAUAUCUCCCAGAUAGAAGUGGAUUUCCAGAGCUAAAUGAAUAAUACAACCAAAAGUACCUGCUGACUGAACAUAAGAAAUAUCCCUGAAUCCAAAGGGCAGCUUAGAUAGAGAAGUGAAAUGAAGCUCAGCUGAAGGCAGAAAUGGAACAAAUGCUCAUCUGAGGCACCAGGGAUGGAUUAACACAAGAGAUGCCUGGAGAUGGGAGGUAAACAGAGAGAUUCUACCAUAAAGCGCUGAGACAAGAAGAGGUCUGGGCUCUGCUUAGUCGUGAAAAGGCUCAUACAGUUGGGGAGGCCUGGCUCCAGGGAACACACUGAAGGAAGCGUGGGCAGAGGCACAAAUGACAGAUUUUGGAGCCUGUCUCAUGAUGCCCCAGCCUAGAGCCUUCAGAGCAUGGCUUCCAGAACCACAGCAGACCAACACUUUCCACAGAGAUGGGGAGGAAGUUGCUAGAACAAACACUGUUCUGAAACUUGCCCCAAAUCUGAACCUAAUCAAACCCCAAUGUUUUCUUGAGGUUAGAAAAGGCCUGGCUUAGCAUUUUUAAAACAAUAUCUAUUUGCCUUUUGUCUCCCAUUUGUAGCCAGAAGUGGAAGUUCUAAAAACCCAUUAAAAACUUUGGGUUUUAUUUUGUAUUUAUUUCUUUACUAUAUGCUUUCCCAGCCAAAACCAGAAAAUGCUGGGACGGCACAAGCUCAUUCUCCUGAGAUAUCCAGAUCAAAGUUGUUUGGAACUGCCUUGGCUAAGCAACUGAAUUUUUCCAUUCUUAUCCAAACCAAUGCUUCAAACCCUUGCAAUUUACUCAUAUGCAUCCACCUUCUCAAGUGUUCUGAGGCAUUUCUUUCAGCGCACAUGUUGGCCUUCAAAGGGUAAUAAGCAAUUAUGUGCUGGCAAAAGUUGCAUUUUCAAGUUUGUACCCCCGUACCAUCAUCCAACAAAGUGAACAAGAACUUCUGGCAACUUUGUCCACUCUCUAUAUAUUCCAUACAGAGUCAAAGUAUAGGAAAAUAUAGGAAAAGCAACAUUAAAGACCCUCUUGCAGAGAAAUGUAUUAUUUUCAGAGUAUUUUGCACUGCUAAAUUAUGCUCUUCCUUAAGUAUAGAACUCACUUUGGCCAAGUAAAUUUGUAAGACAACUCAUGUCAUCCAACCUGCAAAUUUACCGGAAAACUGGUCUCGUUCCUCUCUUAAGGCCUUAGAGAGAUGUCCCUUGGCAGGGGGCAGUCACCCAAAUUUGCCCUAUCAGAAAAUUUGCAUGUUGUUGGAUAACCCAUAGUUUACAUUUAUUACUCUAUAAGUCAUCCUUAUUCUAAAUGACUUUGAUCCAUAGGUACGUUACCUUUCAGGAAAUUAUUGAGUACAAUGUGUCGCAUGCCACAAUCUUAAUUUCGUCUUCACAAAAAAUACAGUUUAUCUAUAGUGAUUUUGCUGUGGCAAUUCUUACCUUGAUUUUCUUUUUUCCAUGGGAUACAAGAGCAAACUAGAGUUUGUGUUACCAAAACAUCAACUCUCAGGGUACUCCACAUUUUCAAUAGGAUGAAGAAAACGUAUGAUGCUGCCCUACUCAAAGCUGCUGAGAAAACAUCACAGUAAUGCCCGUCCUUGCCUGUGACCUGUUUUAGCCUCAGCUUCUCUUUGGAUACAAAGGUAUUUCUUCAAGGAUUUUACACAACCUUGACUAUUCCGGGCUGUGUAUUUGAAGCCUUGUUCAUUAUCACAAUCUUUUUUUAAUGCCAAAUGAAAACCAUUUUUAUGAUCAGAUAGAUGAACUUCUAAGGUCAGCAUCCCUGUCUCAAUUACUGAUGUUUCCAAAAUAUACAAGUGAUUCUUUAGUUUUAUAAACCUCCACCUGCUUCUUCCUUUCA